rnacentral:rRNA from 1 species
GACAGAGGAGCCAAGCGUUGUCCGGAUUGACUGGGCGUAAAGCGCACGCAGGUGGUCGUGCAAGUGUCGUGUGAAAGCAGCUCGCUCAACGAGCUGAGGCAUGGCAGACUGUAUGGCUCGAGCCCGUGAGAGGUCGGUGGAAUUGCCGGUGUAGUGGUGAAAUGCGUAGAGAUCGGCAGGAACACCCAAGGGGAAGCCAGCCGACUGGCACGGUGCUGACACUGAGGUGCGACAGCGUGGGGAGCAAACGGG